rnacentral:rRNA from 1 species
UACGGAGGGGGCAAGCGUUGUUCGGAAUUACUGGGCGUAAAGGGCGCGCAGGCGGCUGCUCAAGUCAGGCGUGAAAGGCCUGGGCUCAACCCGGGAAUUGCGCUUGAGGCUGGGCUGGCUUGAGUGCGGGAGAGGAUGGUGGAAUUCCCAGUGUAGAGGUGAAAUUCGUAGAUAUUGGGAAGAACACCGGUGGCGAAGGCGGCAUCCUGGACCGGCAUUGACGCUGAGGCGCGAAAGCCAGGGGAGCAAACGGG